UACAGAGGUCCCAAGCGUUGUUCGGAUUCACUGGGCGUAAAGCGUGCGCAGGCGGUUGUGCAAGACCGAUGUGAAAUCCCCGGGCUUAACCUGGGAAUGGCAUUGGUGACUGCACGGCUAGAGUGUGUCAGAGGGGGGUAGAAUUCCACGUGUAGCAGUGAAAUGCGUAGAGAUGUGGAGGAAUACCGAUGGCGAAGGCAGCCCCCUGGGAUAACACUGACGCUCAUGCACGAAAGCGUGGGGAGCAAACAGG
rnacentral:rRNA from 1 species